rnacentral:rRNA from 1 species
UAGGGAAUCUUCGGCAAUGGACGAAAGUCUGACCGAGCAACGCCGCGUGAGUGAAGAAGGUUUUCGGAUCGUAAAACUCUGUUGUUAGAGAAGAAUAAGGAUGAGAGUAGAAUGUUCAUCCCUUGACGGUAUCUAACCAGAAAGCCACGGCUAACUACGUGCCAGCAGCCGCGGUAAUACGUAGGUGGCAAGCGUUGUCCGGAUUUAUUGGGCGUAAAGCGAGCGCAGGCGGUUUCUUAAGUCUGAUGUGAAAGCCCCCGGCUUAACCGGGGAGGGUCAUUGGAAACUGGGAGACUUGAGUGCAGAAGAGGAGAGUGGAAUUCCAUGUGUAGCGGUGAAAUGCGUAGAUAUAUGGAGGAACACCAGUGGCGAAGGCGACUCUCUGGUCUGUAACUGACGCUGAGGCUCGAAAGCGUGGGGAGCAAACA